GUAAUGUGAAUGAAGUUGCAACAAUGGAAUGAGAUGGUGCUUCUCCUAAAGAGCUUAUUUUAUGAGCUUAUCCGUGAGAGCUUUACGCAAUCCCAUGCACUGUUCAUCGUCCCUACCCGCAAAGUAAAGAUACAAAACCACAUCUUAUCUAACCUAGUGCCGACUGCCGACAAUUGAAUCAACAUACUUCCAGGCAGCUUCCGACGCAUACACAGCGCAGAUCUCGAAAACCACUGUUUUUUACCCAGGGAACAAGAUGAACAUGGUGACAGAAACUUGGAUAAAUGGAUAAAUGAAUCAACUAAUCCAAGUAAGGUUUCGGAAGAAGCUCAAAAGCACUUCAAAUCUGCCUCAUGGGAUUGCGUUCAAGCCAAUGUGAAACUCGAGAAGCCUGCACCAAAUAUAAGCGACAGCAUGGUGUUCCAUUGU